rnacentral:rRNA from 1 species
UAGGGAAUCUUCCACAAUGGACGCAAGUCUGAUGGAGCAACGCCGCGUGAGUGAAGAAGGUUUUCGGAUCGUAAAGCUCUGUUGUUGGUGAAGAAGGAUAGAGGCAGUAACUGGUCUUUAUUUGACGGUAAUCAACCAGAAAGUCACGGCUAACUACGUGACAG